GAACGACCUACUGGCCUCGCUGGACCG
rnacentral:sRNA from 1 species